AGAGUUUGAUCAUGGCUCAGAUUGAACGCUGGCGGCAGGCCUAAUACAUGCAAGUCGAACGGUAACAUGGAAGUAGCAAUACUUUUGAUGACGAGUGGCGGACGGGUGAGUAAUAUUUGGGAAUCUACCUAUCAGAGGGGGAUAGCAACUGGAAACGGUUGAUAAGACCGCGUACGCUCUGAGGAGGAAAGUAAUGGGAUCGAAAGACCAUUAGCUGAUAGAUGAGCCCAAACGGGAUUAGCUAGUAGGCGGGGUAAUAGCCCACCUAGGCGACGAUCUCUAGCUGGUUUUAGCGGAUGAUCAGCCACAUUGGAACUGAGACACGGUCCAAACUCCUACGGGAGGCAGCAGUAGGGAAUAUUGCACAAUGGAGGGAACUCUGAUGCAGCCAUGCCGCGUGUGUGAAGAAGGCCUUCGGGUUGUAAAGCACUUUAGUUUUCGAGAAAGGGUGCAAUUCGAAUAGGGUUGUAUUCAGAUGUUAGAAAAAGAAUAAGUACCGGCAAACUCCGUGCCAGCAGCCGCGGUAAUACGGAGGGUACGAGCGUUAAUCGGAAUGACUGGGCGUAAAGGGCGCGUAGGCGGGUUUGUAAGUUGAAUGUGAAAUCUAUGGGCUCAACCCAUAAACUGCGUUCAAAACUGCAGAUCUUGAGUGGAGUAGAGGCAGGCGGAAUUCCUAGUGUAGCGGUGAAAUGCGUAGAUAUUAGGAGGAACACCAGUGGCGAAGGCGGCCUGCUGGGCUCUAACUGACGCUGAGGCUCGAAAGCGUGGGUAGCAAACAGGAUUAGAUACCCUGGUAGUCCACGCCGUAAACGAUGAUUACUAGGUGUGGGGAUGUAAGUUUCCGUGCCGGAGUUAACACAAUAAGUAAUCCACCUGGGGAGUACGACCGCAAGGUUGAAACUCAAAGGAAUUGACGGGGGCCCGCACAAGCAGUGGAGUAUGUGGUUUAAUUCGAAGCAACGCGAAGAACCUUACCAGGUCUUGACAUCCUGCUAACGAAGUAGAGAUACAUUAGGUGCCCUUCGGGGAAAGCAGAGACAGGUGGUGCAUGGUUGUCGUCAGCUCGUGUCGUGAGAUGUUGGGUUAAGUCCCGCAACGAGCGCAACCCUUACUAAUAGUUGCUACGCAAGAGCACUCUAUUAGGACUGCCGUUGACAAAACGGAGGAAGGUGGGGAUGACGUCAAAUCAUCAUGCCCCUUAUGACCUGGGCUACACACGUACUACAAUGGCCACAAACAGAGGGAAGCAAUAUCGCGAGAUGGAGCAAACCCCCAAAAGUGGUCUCAGUUCGGAUUGCAGGCUGCAACCCGCCUGUAUGAAGUCGGAAUUGCUAGUAAUCGCGGAUCAGAAUGCCGCGGUGAAUACGUUCCCGGGCCUUGUACACACCGCCCGUCACACCAUGAGAGUUGGCAACACCCGAAGUCAGUAGUCUAACCGCAAGGAGGACGCUGCCGAAGGUGGGGUUGAUGAUUGGGGUGAAGUCGUAACAAGGUAGCC
rnacentral:rRNA from 1 species